rnacentral:rRNA from 1 species
UACGUAGGGUGCAAGCGUUAAUCGGAAUUACUGGGCGUAAAGCGUGCGCAGGCGGUUUUGUAAGUCUGUCGUGAAAUCCCCGGGCUUAACCUGGGAACUGCAUUGGUGACUGCAUCGCUCGAGUAUGGCAGAGGGGGGUAGAAUUCCACGUGUAGCAGUGAAAUGCGUAGAGAUGUGGAGGAAUACCGAUGGCGAAGGCCAGCCCCCUGGGUCAAUACUGACGCUCAUGGCACGAAAGCGUGGGGAGCAAACAGG